UUAAUGCAAGAGACAUUCCAGCUGAGGACUACAGCUUGCUGCCAGAUUUUGAUGUGCAGCAGCAGCAGCUCCUAAAUGAGUUAUCCAGUCUCACUCAACCAUCUUUGAGUAAUAACUCUCUGAACCGUUCUGGUCGUUUGAAAACCCUAACCCCUUCAAACCUUGAUGAUCUCUUUUCUGCGGAGAGCUCUUCUCCUCGGUAUGCUGAUCAAGCAUUG
rnacentral:misc_RNA from 1 species